GACAGAGGGUGCAAACGUUGUUCGGAAUUACUGGGCGUAAAGCGCGUGUAGGCGGCCCUGCAAGUCGGGUGUGAAAUCCCACGGCUCAACCGUGGAAGUGCACUCGAAACUGCAGGGCUAGAGUCCUGGAGAGGAAGGUGGAAUGCUUGGUGUAGAGGUGAAAUUCGUAGAUAUCAAGCGGAACACCGGUGGCGAAGGCGGCCUUCUGGACAGUGACUGACGCUGAGACGCGAAAGCGUGGGGAGCAAACAGGG
rnacentral:rRNA from 1 species